rnacentral:rRNA from 1 species
UGGGGAAUAUUGCACAAUGGAGGGAACUCUGAUGCAGCGACGCCGCGUGAGUGAUGAAGGAAUUCGUUUCGUAAAACUCUGUCCUAUGAGAAGAAAAGGACUGUACCAUAGGAGAAAGCUCCGGCUAAAUACGUGCCAGCAGCCGCGGUAAUACGUAUGGAGCGAGCGUUGUCCGGAAUUAUUGGGCGUAAAGGGUGCGCAGGCGGCUUUACAAGUUGGAUGUGAAAUAUUGUGGCUCAACCACAAACGUGCAUCCAAAACUGCAAAGCUUGAGUUAAGGAGAGGUAAGUGGAAUUCCUGGUGUAGCGGUGGAAUGCGUAGAUAUCAGGAGGAAUACCGGUGGCGAAGGCGACUUACUGGACUUAAACUGACGCUCAGGCACGAAAGCGUGGGGAGCAAACAGG